rnacentral:rRNA from 1 species
UACGUAGGGGGCAAGCGUUGUCCGGAAUCAUUGGGCGUAAAGCGCGCGUAGGCGGCCCCAUAAGUCCGCUGUGAAAGUCAAAGGCUCAACCUUUGAAUGCCGGUGGAUACUGUGAGGCUAGAGUCCGGAAGAGGCGAGUGGAACUCCUGGUGUAGCGGUGGAAUGCGCAGAUAUCAGGAAGAACACCGACGGCGAAGGCAGCUCGCUGGGACGGUACUGACGCUGAGGCGCGAAAGCGUGGGGAGCAAACAGG